rnacentral:rRNA from 1 species
GACGUCAAGUCAUCAUGCCCCUUAUGUCCAGGGCUUCACACAUGCUACAAUGGCCGGUACAGAGGGCUGCGAUACCGUGAGGUGGAGCGAAUCCCUUAAAGCCGGUCUCAGUUCGGAUCGGGGUCUGCAACUCGACCCCGUGAAGUUGGAGUCGCUAGUAAUCGCAGAUCAGCAACGCUGCGGUGAAUACGUUCCCGGGCCUCGUACACACCGCCCGUCACGUCAUGAAAGUCGGUAACACCCGAAGCCGGUGGCCUAACCCUUGUGGAGGGAGCCGUCGAAGGUGGGAUUGGCGAUUGGGACGAAGUCGUAACAAGGUAGCCGUACCGGAAGGUGCGGCUGGAUCACCUCCUUUCU